rnacentral:rRNA from 1 species
GACGAACGCUGGCGGCGUGCUUAACACAUGCAAGUCGAACGGAAAGGCCCUGCUUGCAGGGUACUCGAGUGGCGAACGGGUGAGUAACACGUGGGUGAUCUGCCCUGCACUUCGGGAUAAGCCUGGGAAACUGGGUCUAAUACCGGAUAGGAGCCAUUUUUAGUGUGAUGGUUGGAAAGUUUUUUCGGUGUAGGAUGAGCUCGCGGCCUAUCAGCUUGUUGGUGGGGUAAUGGCCUACCAAGGCGGCGACGGGUAGCCGGCCUGGGAGGGUGGACGGCCACAUUGGGACUGAGAUACGGCCCAGACUCCUACGGGAGGCAGCAGUGGGGAAGAUUGCACAAUGGGCGCGAGCCUGAUGCAGCGACGCCGGGUGGGGGAUGACGGCCUUCGGGUUGGAAACUCCUUUCGCUAGGGACGAAGCUGUGUGUGACGGUACCUAGAUAAGAAGCACCGGCUAACUACGUG